rnacentral:tRNA from 1 species
ACCUGGGUGGCUCAGUCGGUUAAGCAUCUGACUUCAGCUCAGGUCAUGAUCUCAAGGUUUGUGAGUUCGAGCCCCACAUCAGGCU